GGGGGGGGAAAUUAAUAAUAUUAUAAAUAAUAAAAAAAAUUUUAGUAUUUAAAUGGGGGUUUAAGUAUUUAAAAAGAAAAAAUUUUUUAAUUUAUAGUUAAUUAUGUAUAGUGAUAGAAUUUUGAAAUAGGGUUAAAAUUAUUAAUUUAUAGGAAAGUAGAUUUUAUUUGUUGUAUCUUGUGUAUCAGAGUUUAUUAAUAAAAUGUUUAAUAUUUAAAGUUUCUCGAAUAGGAAAGAGUUAAUUAAUUAAAAAAUUUAAUGUAAAAUAAUUAUUUUUAAUAAUUAAUUAGAAAUGAAAUGUUAUUCGUUUUUCUAUAUAUCUAGUUUUUUUAGAAAAAAAUUUAAUUUUAAAUUUAAUAUUUUUUAAUUUAAGUUUAAUUUAUUUUAAAAAUUUAAAUUUAAAUAAUUUAUGGGAUAAUCUUUAGAUUAGAUUUUUAUAAAUAAAUUAAAGUUAAUUUGAAAAUUUUAAAAUUUAUAUUGUUUAAAAAUUUUAAUUUUUUAUAAAUUAAUUUCAGUUAAAAUUAGAUUUAAUAUUUUAUUUUGAUUUUUUAUAAAAUUAGAAAUUUUAAUUAGAAAAAUUUUGGAAUAAUGAUAAAAUUAGUAUAUUUUUAUUUAUAGGGGGUAAUUAUAAUUAUAAAAUAAUUUUAAGGAAUUCAGCAAAAUAAUAUUAUAUUCACCUGUUUAUCAAAAACAUGUCCUUUUGGGUUAUAAUUUAAGGUUUAUUCUGCCCACUGAAUUAAUUUAAAGGGCUGCAGUAUAUUGACUGUACAAAGGUAGCAUAAUCAUUAGUUUUUUAAUUGGGGACUUGUAUGAAAGAUUGGAUGAAAUAUAAACUGUCUUGAGAUUAAUAAAUUAGAAUUUAAUUUUUUCAUUAAAAAGUGAAAAUUUUAUUAAAAGACGAGAAGACCCUAUAGAGUUUUAUAUUGAUAAAAAUUGAAAUUUUAUUUAAAUAUUUAAAAUUAAAUUUUUAGGAAUAUUUUGUUGGGGGGACAUAAAAAUUUAAUUAACUUUUUAAUUAAUUAAACAAAAAUAAUUGAAUUUUUGAUCCAGUUUUAUUGAUUAAAAGAAAAAAUUACCUUAGGGAUAACAGCGUAAUUUUUUUUUUUAGUCCAUAUAAUAAAAAAAGUUUGCGACCUCGAUGUUGGAUUAAGAUAAAAUUUAAAUGCAAAAGUUUAAAAUUUUUGAUCUGUUCGAUCAUUAAAAUCUUACAUGAUCUGAGUUCAAACCGGUGUAAGCCAGGUUGGUUUCUAUCUUUAAUAAGAGAUUAUAUUUUAGUACGAAAGGAUUAAAUAUAAGAAAUAUUUUUAUAUUAUUUGAAUUUUAAUAAUUUUUAUGUAAAAUAAUU
rnacentral:rRNA from 1 species